rnacentral:misc_RNA from 1 species
AUUUAUGGGGAGCAGAGUGGACCGAAAACCCUUGGCUAGCGAAGUUGUGCCUAGGUGUUUAAAUUACGCCUUAAUUCAUAUACCGAUGAUUGCUUUGAAUCUAACUGUGACAAGAACCCAAUCCCUGGGCAAGGAAAGGGGUGUGCAGAUAUAGAGAGUCUCAGGCACGUAGAAUGCCUCCCUGAAUGCGCCAAUGGCGGCUCCUGUGAGAACGGUCGGUGUGUCUGUCCGUCUGGACUAUCCGGUCCAGCGUGCCAUGACGGUCUGUACAAAGCAAAUCAGACGAGGGAGGAAGACAAGUCUGAUUAUACAAUGCUUUUAGAGUGGUUUCAAUACAUACACCUGUUUUGUAGAUGUGGAUGAGUGUGCUCUGUUACCGACAAACCACUGCCAGUUUAGCUGUCGGAACACCUUUGGCAGUUACCAUUGUGUCUGUUUGGAGGGUUUCACACUGGGUCCCGAUAAAAGAACCUGCAUCGAAGAGCAUGCGCACUGUUUCCCUGGGUGUAUGAAUGGAGGGGUGUGCAGGGGAGGUAAAUGUCGAUGUCCGCGUGGUUUUUCUGGAGGUCUUUGUCAAGAAGAUGUUAAUGAAUGUUUAAAGUACACGAGGCUCUGUGAACACCAAUGCCGCAAUACCUACGGCUCCUACUUCUGUACCUGUCCCCCCGGAAUUCGCCUGAGGGAGGAUAAAAGAACCUGUCACAGUUCCACGUGCAAACCUAAUUGCAUCAAUGGGGGUGUUUGCGACAACAACAGAUGCAGGUGCCCGCCUGGAUACUACGGGAUAAUUUGCCAGCUUGACUUAGACGAAUGUUAUUCCAACCCUUGUCGGAACAAGUGUGUGAACACUAUAGGCAGUUACUACUGUACAGGAUGAAGUGUUGAUCAAAGAUGAUAUUCCGUUGCUUCAUAACUGUUUACGACUACAUCUUGUCGGAUUGUACAUAGAUUUAAUAUUCUUUUGAGUAGUAAUAUUAAUGUAUAAAAAGAUGAAUGAACUUAAUGGCACAAAACUUUACAAUAUUUUUCAACUUUUAUCAUGUUUAUAUAUAAUCCACUUCGAUAAAAACAUUAAAAAUCUGAAAAACUUGUUAUUCACAAAU